AUUGAACGCUGGCGGCAGGCCUAACACAUGCAAGUCGAACGAGUGGCGGACGGGUGAGUAAUGUCUGGGAAACUGCCCGAUGGAGGGGGAUAAGUACUGGAAACGGUAGCUAAUACCGCAUACGCUCGGAUGUGCCCAGCUGGGCUUAGCUAGUAGGUGGGGUAACGGCUCACCUAGGCGCCGAGCCCUAUCUGGUCUGAGAGGAUGACCAGCCACACUGGAACUGAGACACGGGCCAGACUCCUACGGGAGGCAGCAGUGGGGAAUAGUGCACAAUGGGCUAAAGCCUGAUGCAGCCAUGCCGCGUGUAUGAAGAAGGCCGUCGGGUUGUAAAGUACUUUCAGCGGGGAGGCGUUAGCCGCAGAAGAAGCACCGGCUAACUCCGUGCCAGCAGCCGCGGUAAUAC
rnacentral:rRNA from 1 species